rnacentral:rRNA from 1 species
GACGAACGCUGGCGGCGUGCUUAACACAUGCAAGUCGAACGGAAAGGCCUGCUUUCCCUUGUGGAUUGCGGGUACUCGAGUGGCGAACGGGUGAGUAACACGUGAGUGAUCUGCCCCCAACUUGGGUAUAAGCCUGGGAAACUGGGUCUAAUUCCCGAUAGGACUGCAGGGUGGUGCCUGUGGUGGAAAACGAUUUUCUAGUGGUUGGGGAUGAGCUCGCGGCCUAUCAGCUUGUUGGUGGGGUAAUGGCCUACCAAGGCGGCGACGGGUAGCCGGCCUGAGAGGGUGGACGGGCACAUUAGGACUGAGAGACGGCCCAGACUCCUACGGGAGGCAGCAGUGGGGAAUAUGACGCAAUGGGCGGAAGCCUGAUGCAGCGACGCGGCGUGGGGGAUGACGGCCUUCGGGUUGUAAACUCCUUUCGACCGAGAGGAAGCCACCUGGUUGGAAGGGUGGUGACGGUAGUGGUAGAAGAAGCACCGGCUAACUACGUG